rnacentral:tRNA from 2 species
GCCCCUAUAGCUCAGUGGACAGAGCGAUGGCCUCCGAAGCCAUAGACCGGCGUUCGAGCCGCCGUGGGGGCA